CUGCGCUCCACUUUGAAUUUCCUACAAAACGAAAACGUGGAUACCAUCAUCGUUGAUCUGGGGAUGCGACCAACAGCCUCGCAAAUGUUGCAGUCUACAGGGGCCAACAUCCUGACCCUCGGGGGUAACACUAUCGGGGCCAAGCGGACCCUACAGAGGUUGCUGUUGGAGAGAGCAUGUGCAGAUUUGAAUAAAAGUUUUGGACCUGGGCCUGACCCAAAUUAAGCUUCUAAACUUGUCAAGAUAUGCUUGAAUGAUAGUGUACACGUUCUCAUGAGAUACCUUAAAGUUUAUGUACAAGAAAUCAACCAAUCCGUUAGCUUGUUAUUGUUUAUUACAUUUUAGCCGUAACACGCUGCAGCAUUCUAGUAUUUCUUCGAAACUUGAAUCAAAAACAGUGCAAGAUAAUCGUUUUUUAAAUUGUAAAUUAACCAACUUAGAUAAAUAAGUCUAACGUAUCAUGUUGUCACAUGCUUAAAGUUUUUUUUUAAAAUGACAGUAAAGCCUUGUCUCGCCAUGCUAAUGUUGUUAUACUUGCAAGCAUAUUUUGAUCACACAUUUUUAACAGUAUUAAUUAACUGUUGUAUUUUGUGUUAGAAAUAAAUGUGUACCUCCUACAUUGGCGCUAGAUUUGUUGUAUAAUUUUUGUAUACACAUUGUCAAAUCAAGUAACAAUAAUUCUAAUUACUUCUUCAAUCAAUUAAAACUGUAUCCAUUCUAAUUUCAUUAAACUAUUAUUAUCUG